UACGAAGGGGACUAGCGUUGUUCGGAAUCACUGGGCGUAAAGCGCACGUAGGCGGAUUUGUAAGUCAGGGGUGAAAUCCCGGGGCUCAACCUCGGAACUGCCUUUGAUACUGCGAAUCUUGAGUCCGAUAGAGGUGGGUGGAAUUCCUAGUGUAGAGGUGAAAUUCGUAGAUAUCGGGAGGAACACCGGUGGCGAAGGCGGCGACCUGGGACAAUACUGACGCUGAGGUGCGAAAGCGUGGGGAGCAAACAGG
rnacentral:rRNA from 1 species